rnacentral:lncRNA from 1 species
GUUUAUCCAUCAUCACAAAGUAGCCAAUAGCUUUCUCAAAAGUUUGAUUAUCACAAGUGGUUUUCGCAGCCCUACCACUAUCCCUUCAUCCAAGAAACACAUACACUACUAGAAAUUUGCUUUUUACCUGCGGAUUUUCCUGCGGACACAAUUCCGCUGGUAAUACGUGAGGAUUUUCCUGCGGUUUGCGAUUAUCUUAAGACUUUUCCUGCGGUACCGUAUUCCGCAGGUAAAACGGCAGGUAACAUCUUUUAUUGCUGCGGAUUUACAUACGACUAUGUUUCCGCAGCAACGUUCAUAUUUUUUCCAUAGGAUUUAUCUGCGGUAAAUGUCCGUAGCAAAUUCCGUAGCAAAUUCCGCAGCAAAUUCGUUGCAAAGUUUAAGUAUUUUAUUCUUUGGAAAUUCCGCAGGUAAAUUUCAUGUCAAUUUUUAUGAUUUUAUUUUUAUAUAAAUAAGGUAGAAUUACUUUUUAAACAAAUAAAAAAUAUAAGACAAGUUCCACAAUUAAAGAUGAUAAUAUAAUUCGGACUCGUAGUAUGCAUCUGAAUCCAUCUUGAUUUGGAAAGAAAAAUUAGUUUUGAUUUAGUGUUGGGUUUGGAUUUUUCCCCAAACUAAAAUUUGUAACACAAAUGAUUUGGAGUGUUAUAUUUCUUCACCCGAACCCGCUCCACUAGUAAUAUUAUUGUAAUUUUUAAAUGUUAUAGUAUAUAUUGUCUAUUGAAUUAAGAGUUUUGGUAAAUUUCUCUAUUUAAUUUUGAACUCAGUAAUUAAAUAAAUUGUUUUCAUAAAUAAAAUUUUAUUUUUAAUAAAAAUUAUGUCAAAAAAAGUUAUUUGAAAAUAGAAUUAAAAGAUAAAACUUAAAAAUUUAACGAUAUUAAAUUUAAAAUAUAGUCAAACUAAUUGACAUAUUAUUUAAC